rnacentral:rRNA from 1 species
GAGUUUGAUCCUGGCUCAGGACGAACGCUGGCGGCGUGCUUAACACAUGCAAGUCAAGGGGGCCCAGCAAUGGGCAACCGGCGAACGGGUGCGUAACACGUGAGCAACCUACCGAACUGUGGGGGAUAGCCGGCCUAACGGCCGAGUAAUACCGCAUACGCUUUCAGUGAGGCAUUUCAUUGAAAGGAAACCUACGGGACAGAUCGAGGGGCUCGCGGCCUAUCAGCUAGUUGGCGAGGUAACGGCUCACCAAGGCAACGACGGGUAGCUGGUCUGAGAGGAUGGCCAGCCACAUUGGGACUGAGAUACGGCCCAGACUCCUACGGGAGGCAGCAGUGGGGAAUCUUGCGCAAUGGCCUAACGGCUGACGCAGCGACGCCGCGUGUGGGAUGAAGCUCUUCGGAGUGUAAACCACUGUUGCCCGGGACGAACAGCUCGAUUAAUCGAGCCUGACGGUACCGGGUGAGGAAGCACCGGCUAACUCCGUGCCAGCAGCCGCGGUAAUACGGGGGGUGCGAGCGUUGUCCGGAAUCACUGGGCGUAAAGGGCGCGUAGGUGGUUUGAUAAGGGUGUGGUGAAAGUCCGGGGCUCAACCCCGGAUCUGCCGUGCCGACUGUCAA